rnacentral:rRNA from 1 species
CCUACGGGAGGCAGCAGUGAGGAAUAUUGGUCAAUGGACGGAAGUCUGAACCAGCCAAGUAGCGUGCAGGAUGACGGCCCUAUGGGUUGUAAACUGCUUUUAUAUGGGGAUAAAGUUCAGUAUGUAUAUUGUGCUGAAUGUACUGUACGAAUAAGGAUCGGCUAACUCCGUGCCAGCAGCCGCGGUAAUACGGAGGAUCCGAGCGUUAUCCGGAUUUAUUGGGUUUAAAGGGUGCGUAGGCGGAUGUAUAAGUUAGUUGUGAAAGUUUCGGGCUUAACCCUGGAAUUGCCGUUGAUACUGGGUGUCUUGAGUGUAGCAGAGGUAGGCGGAAUUCGUGGUGUAGCGGUGAAAUGCUUAGAUAUCACGCAGAACUCCGAUUGCGAAGGCAGCUUACCGGACUGUAACUGACGCUGAUGCUCGAAAGUGUGGGUAUCAAACAGGAUUAGAUACCCCAGUAGUC